UGAUUGAAUAAAAUUAAUUUCGACUUAAUUAUAGUAAGUGUAACUUACCAAUCAU
rnacentral:tRNA from 1 species